rnacentral:piRNA from 1 species
UGUGAAACUACAAAUAAUGUA